CAGCAGCCGCGGUAAUACGAGGGGGGCAAGCGUUGUUCGGAAUUAUUGGGCGUAAAGGGUGCGUAGGCGGUUUGACAAGUCAUCUGUGAAAUCUAUGGGCUCAACCCAUAGUCUGCAGGCGAAACUGUCGGGCUUGAGUAUUGGAGAGGUGAGUGGAAUUUCCGGUGUAGCGGUGAAAUGCGUAGAUAUCGGAAGGAACACCUGUGGCGAAAGCGGCUCACUGGACAAUAACUGACGCUGAGGCACGAAAGCUAGGGGAGCAAACAGGAUUAGAUACCCGAGUAGUCCCUGUCUCUUAUAC
rnacentral:rRNA from 1 species